AUUGAACGCUGGCGGCAGGCUUAACACAUGCAAGUCGAGCGGGGUGAUGGUGCUUGCACUAUCACUUAGCGGCGGACGGGUGAGUAAUGCUUAGGAAUCUGCCUAUUAGUGGGGGACAACAUCUCGAAAGGGAUGCUAAUACCGCAUACGUCCUACGAGAGAAAGCAGGGGAUCACUUGUGACCUUGCGCUAAUAGAUGAGCCUAAGUCGGAUUAGCCAGUUGGUGGGGUAAAGGCCUACCAAGGCGACGAUCUGUAGCGGGUCUGAGAGGAUGAUCCGCCACACUGGGACUGAGACACGGCCCAGACUCCUACGGGAGGCAGCAGUGGGGAAUAUUGGACAAUGGGGGGAACCCUGAUCCAGCCAUGCCGCGUGUGUGAAGAAGGCCUUAUGGUUGUAAAGCACUUUAAGCGAGGAGGAGGCUCUUUUGGUUAAUACCCAAGAUGAGUGGACGUUACUCGCAGAAUAAGCACCGGCUAACUCUGUGCCAGCAGCCGCAGUAA
rnacentral:rRNA from 1 species